AGCGAACGCUGGCGGCAGGCCUAACACAUGCAAGUCGAGCGGAACCUUCGGGGUCAGCGGCGGAUGGGUGUGUAACGCGUGGGAACGUGCCUUCCGGUUUGGAAUAACCCUGGGAAACUAGGGAUAACACCGGAUACGUCCUUAUGGGGCAAGGUUUACCGCGGUAAGAUGGGCCCGGGGCUGAUUAGCCGGUUGGUGUGGUAAAGGCCUACCAAGGCGACGAUCAGUAGCUGGUCUGAGAGGAUGAGCAGCCACACCUGGACUGAGACACGGCCCGGACUCUUACGCGAUGCAGCAAAGGGUGAUAUUGGACAAUCGGCUCAAGCCAGAACGUUCCAUGCCGCGUAAAUGAUGAUGGCCUUAAAGUAGUAGAGCUCUUUUAUCCGUGACGGUAAUGACGGUACCUAAGGAAAAAGCCCCGGCUAACUUCGUG
rnacentral:rRNA from 1 species